CUUUAUUCUUCAUUGACCAGGAAAUUACCUCAAGUUCCAUUAUGCCAUAAAGAAGGCUUAUCCAGAUUGUGACAAGUUUUCUCAAAAGUUGGAUCACCCUGCAGAUUUGUAUAAUUAUCAUGUUAAUACAUCUGCCAAGGACAUGUUUUCGAUGGCUCAUCGGUUCGAUCUUGCAUCACGUGACGGUCCAAAGGCUUUUGUAAGUGAGUAUGUUGUAACUGGGAAAGAUGCUGGCAAAGGAACUCUUUUAGCAGCACUGGCCGAGGCUGCAUUCCUUAUUGGAAUUGAACAGAACAAGUUUGAUGUAAUUUAAUUUUGAACUUGCUUACUGUGAAAUUGUGCUUGCAAUUAUUUCAAUUCAGUCCAAAUUUGACGAUUCAUUUUUCCUCCAAA